AGAAUCAACGCUGGCGGCGUGCCUCAGACAUGCAAGUCGAACGAUUAAACUUUCCUUCGGGAAAGAUAUAAAGUGGCGCACGGGUGAGUAACACGUAAGUAAUCUAACCUUCGAGUGGGGAAUAACAUCGGGAAACCGAUGCUAAUACCGCAUAAUGCAGCGGCAUCGCAAGAUGACAGUUGUUAAAGGAGCAAGUCCG
rnacentral:rRNA from 1 species